CGCGUCUGUGCAGGAGGAGUUUCAGCUUGCUUUGUUCAAGAACAGAAAGAAGGAUAACAUGUUUGCUAAUAUGAUAUUCGAUAUGUUUGACGCUAAACGAAAAGGCGUCAUCGAUUUCGGGGACUUUGUUAGGUCACUAAAUGUUUUCCACCCCAACAUAUCCCCGGAUGACAAAAUCGAUUUUACAUUCCGGCUUUACGA